CCCCCACACACACACCGGAACUUCUCCUUCCCCCUCCUCAUCUCUUGACCCUCCAUCCAGGAAGCGGCGAGACUGAGUUGAUGUCUCUUUGCUUUAUUUUGGGACCAAAAACAAAGAACCAAAUCCCAGAUCCCUCCAAACAUCAUUUCCCAGACAAGCCAGGCUGGGGGAUUUUGUGCUUUGGACUCUUAUGACAAUAGAAUAACAGGUAAGGUCAUUUUUGUUCCCACCUUCUCCUUCAAUGUCACUCUCCAGAUGGGUCCAUGCACAGACAGUCUCAAGAAUAGACUACUGUAAUCCUCUUUCUGUGAGGCUUCCUUUGAGGCUGACACCGGACUCUCCCCCUCCUGUCGUCUCCUCUGGGAAGGUGAUUCCACACCCCCACGUGGGGGAAGGUUCUUCCGUUUCACAUUCUCUCUUUUCUCCUCUUUCUAUUUGUGUCCACUCUUCCCUUAUCUUUCGGCUCCAUCCUCCUUUGCUGGCUGAGCGAGGGUUCCUUCCCCUUUCUGCCUCUUCUCUCGGUAUCAUCAACCUCUCCCAGAUAGGAAUUCAUGGGUUCUCCAUCCAAAAACCUUCCCACCCAUCUAGGAAUACCUUACUCUCUUCAUCUGAUUUUGGUAUUGCCCACCUGGUGAUGCCCACCUGGUGAUGUCCAUCUGUUGGAAAAGGGUAUUUGUGAUGACAAGCUUGUUCUCUUGACAAAACUCUAUUAG